GACGAACGCUGGCGGCGUGCUUAACACAUGCAAGUCGAACGCUGAAGCUCAGCUUUUGUUGGGUGGAUGAGUGGCGAACGGGUGAGUAACACGUGAGUAACCUGCCCCCUUCUUUGGGAUAACGCCCGGAAACGGGUGCUAAUACUGGAUAUUCACUGGUCUUCGCAUGGGGGUUGGUGGAAAGGGUUUUUCUGGUGGGGGAUGGGCUCGCGGCCUAUCAGCUUGUUGGUGGGGUGAUGGCCUACCAAGGCUUUGACGGGUAGCCGGCCUGAGAGGGUGACCGGUGACAUUGGGACUGAGAUACGGCCCAGACUCCUACGGGAGGCAGCAGUGGGGAAGAUGGCACAAUGGGCGCAAGCCUGAUGCAGCGACGCCGCGUGAGGGAUGGAGGCCUUCGGGUUGUGAACCUCUUUCGCUCAUGGUCAAGCCGCAACAAUGGUUGUGGUGAGGGUAGUGGGUAAAGAAGCGCCGGCUAACUACGUG
rnacentral:rRNA from 1 species